rnacentral:rRNA from 1 species
UGGGGAAUAUUGGACAAUGGGGGCAACCCUGAUCCAGCCAUGCCGCGUGAGUGAUGAAGGCCUUCGGGUUGUAAAGCUCUUUUGGCGGGGACGAUGAUGACGGUACCCGCAGAAUAAGCCCCGGCUAACUUCGUGCCAGCAGCCGCGGUAAGACGAAGGGGGCUAGCGUUGUUCGGAAUUACUGGGCGUAAAGCGAGUGUAGGCGGUUGCCGUAGUCAGGUGUGAAAGCCUUGAGCUCAACUCAAGAAAUGCACUUGAUACUGGGUGACUAGAGGACCGGAGAGGAUAGUGGAAUUCCCAGUGUAGUGGUGAAAUACGUAGAGACUGGGAAGAACACCAGUGGCGAAGGCGGCUAUCUGGACGGUUACUGACGCUAAGACUCGAAAGCGUGGGGAGCAAACAGGAUUAGAUACCCUGGUAGUCCACGCCGUAAACGAUGGGUGCUAGACGUUGGCGAGCUUGCUCGUCAGUGUCGCAGCUAACGCGUUAAGCACCCCGCCUGGGGGAGUACGGCCGCAAGAUUAAAACUCAAAGGAAUUGAC